rnacentral:rRNA from 1 species
CGCGUAGGCGGUCUGCUAAGUUGGAUGUGAAAACUCUGGGCUUAACCCAGAGCCUGCAUUCAAUACUGACAGGCUAGAGUUCUGGAGGGGAUAGCGGAAUUCCUGGUGUAGCGGUGAAAUGCGUAGAUAUCAGGAGGAACACCGGUGGCGAAGGCGGCUAUCUGGACAGAAACUGACGCUGAGGCGCGAAAGCUAGGGGAGCAAACA